GUGCCAGCCGCCGCGGUAAUACCAGCUCCGCGAGUGGUCGGGGUGCUUACUGGGCCUAAAGCGCCCGUAGCCGGCCCGGUAAGUCGUCCCUGAAAUCCACGGGCUCAACCCGUGGGCUGGGGACGAUACUGCCGGGCUUGGGGGCGGGAGAGGCCGAGGGUACUCCCGGGGUAGGGGCGAAAUCCGUAGAUCCCGGGAGGACCACCAGUGGCGAAGGCGCCCCGCUAGAACGCGCCCGACGGUGAGAGGCGAAAGCCGGGGCAGCAAAAGGGAUUAGAUACCCCUGUAGUCCCGGCUGUAAACGAUGCCGGCUAGGUGUUCGCGUGGGCUUAGAGCCCACGCGGUGCCGCAGGGAAGCCGUUAAGCCGGCCGCCUGGGGAGUACGGCCGCAAGGCUGAAACUUAAAGGAAUAGGCGGGGGAGCACCACAAGGGGUGGAACCUGCGGCUCA
rnacentral:rRNA from 1 species